rnacentral:rRNA from 1 species
GUCGAGAAUCUUCCGCAAUGCGCGAAAGCGUGACGGAGCAAUGCCGCGUGCCGGAUGAAGGCCUUCGGGUCGUAAACGGCUGUCACCGGGGACGAAUCCAAUGACGGUACCCGGGGAGGAAGCCACGGCUAACUACGUGCCAGCAGCCGCGGUAAUACGUAGGUGGCUAGCGUUGUUCGGAUUUACUGGGCGUAAAGGGUCCGCAGGGGGCCGGCCAAGUCCGAUGUGAAAUCCCGGAGCUCAACUCCGGAACUGCAUUGGAAACUGAUCGGCUUGAGUCUCGGAGAGGAGAGUGGAAUUCCAGGUGUAGCGGUGGAAUGCGUAGAUAUCUGGAAGAACACCGAAGGCGAAGGCAGCUCUCUGGACGAGUACUGACCCUCAGGGACGAAAGCGUGGGGAUCAAACAGGAUUAGAUACCCCAGUAGUCC